rnacentral:rRNA from 1 species
UUCUGGUUGAUCCUGCCGGAGGCUACCGCUAUUGGAGUUCGAUUAAGCCAUGCGAGUCGAGAGUCUUAGGGACUCGGCGUACCGCUCAGUAACACGUGGGUAACCUGCCCUAUGCUGGGGAAUAACCUCGGGAAACUGAGAAUAAUACCCCAUAGUCCACAAUGCCUGGAACGGUUUGUGGAUUAAAGCCCCGGCGGCAUAGGAUGGGCCUGCGGCGUAUCAGGUUGUAGGGGGUGUAACGUACCCUCUAGCCAUCAACGCGUACGGGUGUUGGGAGACAUAGCCCGGAGAUGGAUUCUGAGACACGAAUCCAGACCCUACGGGGUGCAGCAGGUGCGAAAACUUGGCAAUGCGAGAAAUCGUGACCAGGGAACUCCAAGUGGCUGGGGUAAGACCCAGUCUUUUCUUGACUCUUCAAGGUCUUGGAAUAAGAGGUGGGUAAGGACGGUGCCAGCCGCCGCGGUAAUACCGGCGCCUCAAGUGGUAGUCGAUUUUAUUGGGCCUAAAACGUCCG